GAUGAACGCUGGCGGCGUGCUUAACACAUGCAAGUCGAACGGAGUACUUUCGGGUACUUAGUGGCGGACGGGUGAGUAACGCGUGAGGAUCUGCCCUUAGGAGGGGAACAACAGUUGGAAACGACUGCUAAUGCCCCAUAUGCCGAGAGGUGAAAUGUUUUAUCGCCUGAGGAUGAACUCGCGUCUGAUUAGCUAGUUGGUGGGGUAAGGGCCUACCAAGGCGACGAUCAGUAGCUGGUCUAAGAGGAUGAUCAGCCACACUGGGACUGAGACACGGCCCAGACUCCUACGGGAGGCAGCAGUGGGGAAUUUUCCGCAAUGGGCGAAAGCCUGACGGAGCAACGCCGCGUGAGGGAGGAAGGCCUUAGGGUUGUAAACCUCUUUUCUCUGGGAAGAAUAACUGACGGUACCAGAGGAAUAAGCCUCGGCUAACUCCGUGCCAGCCGCCGCGGUAAAAC
rnacentral:rRNA from 1 species